CCCGCUGAACUUAAGCAUAUCAAUAAGCGGAGGAAAAGAAACCAACAGGGAUUGCCUUAGUAACGGCGAGUGAAGCGGCAAAAGCUCAAAUUUGAAAUCUGGCAGUAAUGUCCGAGUUGUAAUUUGAAGAAGGUAACUUUGGUGAUAGCUCUUGCAUAUGUUCCUUGGAACAGGACGUCAUAGAGGGUGAGAAUCCCGUAUAUGGUGAGAUGACAUAUUACUAUGUAAAGUGCCUUCGAAGAGUCGAGUUGUUUGGGAAUGCAGCUCUAAGUGGGUGGUAAAUUCCAUCUAAAGCUAAAUAUUGGCGAGAGACCGAUAGCGAACAAGUACAGUGAUGGAAAGAUGAAAAGAACUUUGAAAAGAGGGUUAAAAGACUUGAAAUCGUUGAGUCGGAAGUGGUUGGAGGGUAGUCACUUGCCGCCGAUCAUCUGGAGAGCUGGCUUUACCGGUCACCUGGGGGGCUGCCAACUUGGCGAACCUCGGGAACGAUAACGGACGGCUUCCGGUCUUUCGGUGUGCAAAAGACAGAGCGGACUUCGCGGGCGGGAGUAAAGGUUUGCCUUGUACGGCAGGCUCAUCAAAACCGCGCACGAGGCCGAGGGAAAUGUCCAUCCAGUAUGGAGGCUCUGUCAGACCCCACGACGUCUCCAACCGGCCCGUCUUGAAACACGG
rnacentral:rRNA from 1 species